GGAGCGCAGAUCUGCAUCAGUCUGAUGUUUUUCCCCCAAGCGGGAUUAUAUUUAGUUUAGUGAACUUUUGAGGUUCUGUUUUAGCGCGAUAAGGCGGGUUCAAGCUUGGGUUUGGUUUUACCUACUAUAGUGUGUGCAAAGUUCACUUGAAAUGCAUAACAAAUGUCGAGCACAUACAUGGCGGUCCAUACUGCUUUUCGUAAUGCGGGAUUUUCAUUACUUUGGAAGGGCAAUGGCGAUCUGCCGUGAAGUUAGGAAAUGAGAUGUUUGCAGCACUGAAAAUCAUGCCGUUUGCAGUCUUUGUCAACGAUCCCCACCAGCCCCAUUGACUCCGUGUGUUUACGUGGCUUGAAGUGCUUGUUGCGGUGGUCAGAGAAAAAGUUCAUCUUGGUUUUGUUAAACAAUGACUCAUGCCUGGCACCUUUAUAGCAGAUGGUGUACACCUCCAUCUAUCUCGACAGUUGCCUUUAACGCUGAACAGAUGACUUCAUACAAACGGUUAAAAAUCGACAAAGACCUUUGGGUUCAUUUUAAAAGCUAAUUAUGAAAUACAUUGCAGGGAAGUAGGUUCGUACAAGUAAAGAAAGAUUUUGUAAGAAACAUGUUUUCAGUCUGUUCGCAGGUGCGCGUUGGUGUUGUAGAUCACAAACACAAAAUCCAGGGCUGCAAACUGCUCAGCUGCCUGGAAUGAGAUUUUCAAUUCUUCGAGAGACAAGUCUGCAAGUACAUCCGCGGGAAGGAGCCUGGAGUCGGUCCCAGACUGCAUGGAUCGCAAGGCUGGGGAUCUUCCCAGACAGGGUGCCUGUGUACCACGAGAAACAGGCAUUCACACACUCCCAAUACCAAGAUACAGGCAAUAUAGAGAUAUCAGGAUGGCAAACACUCUUGUCUCCAGGCUGCAGUAGGAAACCAGAGGACCUGGAACCUGUGCAACACAGGGGCCACAUGUGAACCCCAGAAAUCAUCAAAGGGGUCACAUUGUCCUGGGAGAUAAAGAUAUGGACCAGUAAGGACAUGGACUGGUAAGCAAGAACCUCAAGCUUCCAAUGUGAAGAGGGCAACCAAGGGAGGCGCCGCACUGUCGCAAUGUGUGAGGAGUGGGCUGGUGCUAAGGAUGCCGUCUGGUUAACACGACAUGAACACCGUAAGAAAAGUGAGGACAAGAAGACCAGCAAUUCACAAUGAACAAAGAUUAAGAUUGGACUGUUAAGCAAUUGUUUUUUUUAAUCGCGAUUAAUCGCAUACACAAGUAAGUUUCAAUAACAAAAAACGUUUUAGUCUGUUUUAUAGCAAUUAAAUUCUACUGACUGCCUUUAUUCGCACUAUUCUCCCAUUGGGGUAUCAAAAUUAAUGCAGUUAACGUGAUCAAAUAAAAUAACAUAUUAGGACUUCAAAGCACCUUUUAUAAGAUAUAUUAUUAUUAUUUGUAAUUGUUUCAUUAUAUGAAAAUGUCACAUAUUAAAUUAUUUGUUGUUGUGUUACACAG